rnacentral:sRNA from 1 species
GUAGCACAGUCUUUCGCUCCUAUCUGAUGGCCC